GGACUACAGGGGUAUCUAAUCCUGUUUGCUCCCCACGCUUUCGCGCCUCAGCGUCAGUUACGGUCCAGAUAGCCGCCUUCGCCACCGGUGUUCUUCCCAAUAUCUACGAAUUUCACCUCUACACUGGGAAUUCCACUAUCCUCUCCCGUACUCAAGCUCAGUAGUAUCAAAUGCAGUUCCCAGGUUAAGCCCGGGGCUUUCACAUCUGACUGUCUGAGCCGCCUGCGCGCCCUUUACGCCCAGUAAUUCCGAACAACGCUCGCCCCCUUCGUAUUACCGCGGCUGCUGGCAC
rnacentral:rRNA from 1 species